rnacentral:rRNA from 1 species
CCUACGGGAGGCAGCAGUGAGGAAUAUUGGUCAAUGGGCGGGAGCCUGAACCAGCCAAGCCGCGUGAAGGAAGAAGGUGCUUAGCAUUGUAAACUUCUUUUGUCAGGGAACAAAAUCAGACUCGCGCGCCCGGAUGAGGGUACUCGAAGAAAAAGCAUCGGCUAACUCCGUGCCAGCAGCCGCGGUAAUACGGAGGAUGCGAGCGUUAUCCGGAUUUAUUGGGUUUAAAGGGUGCGCAGGCGGAAGGUAAAGUCAGCGGUAAAAGGUCGGGGCUCAACCCCGGCCAGCCGUUGAAACUGGUUGUCUUGAGAUGGCGAGAGGUAUGCGGAAUUCGUGGUGUAGCGGUGAAAUGCUUAGAUAUUGCGCAGAACUCCGAUUGCGAAGGCAGCAUACCGGCUGCAAACUGACGCUGAGGCACGAAAGCGUGGGGAUCGAACAGGAUUAGAUACCCGAGUAGUC